AAAAGAAAGCAAGGGCGGACGGUGGAUACCUAGGCUCCAGGAGGCGAAGAAGGACGCGGCAAGCUGCGAAAAUCUGUGGGUAGGUGCAAGCAACCCUUGAUCCACAGGUGUCCGAACGGGGCAACCUAGCUGCCUAGUGCAGUUGCCUGGCAAAAGCCAGGGGCGAACGGGGGGAACUGAAACAUCUUAGUACCCCCAGGAAGAGAAAACAAACGUGAUACCCCAAGUAGCGGCGAGCGAACGGGGCAGAGCCUAAACCGACGGGGUUCCGGCCCUGUCGGGGUUGCGGGACUGAGCCGUGGUACUCGCGGGUCGACCGGAAGCGUCUGGAAAGGCGCGCCAUAGCGGGUGAAAGCCCCUUACGGGAAGACGGACGAGGCCUAUCAGCAUCCCAAGUAGCGCGGGACACGAGGAAUCCUGUGUGAAUCGGGCGGGACCAUCCGCCAAGGCUAAACACUCCCUGGAGACCGAUAGCGGACAAGUACUGUGAAGGAAAGGUGAAAAGCACCCCGAACAGGGGGGUGAAAUAGAACUUGAAACCGUCCGCCUACAAGCGGUAGGAGCCCGAUAGGGGUGACUGCGUGCCUUUUGCAUAAUGAUCCUACGAGUCCCUCCCGUUGGCGAGGUUAAGGGCUUGAGGCCCGGAGCCGGAGCGAAAGCGAGUCCUAACAGGGCGCGAAGUCAGGGAGAGGGGACGCGAAACCAAGUGAUCUACCCUUGUCCAGGAUGAAGGUCCGGUAAGACGGACUGGAGGUCCCAACCAAUAAGCGUUGAAAAGCUUCUGGAUGAGGUGAGGGUAGGAGUGAAAGGCCAAUCAAACUUGGAGAUAGCUCGUACUCCCCGAAAUGCCUUUAGGGGCAGCGUCGGGACAGUAACGUGUAGGUAGAGCGACUGGUUGGAUGCGAGGGCUUCACCGCCUAUCAAGUCCUGUCAAACUCCGAAUGACACGCUAUGAUUCCCGGCAGUGAGGGCGCGGGUGCUAAGGUCCGUGUCCGAGAGGAGAACAAUCCAGACCGCCAGCCAAGGCCCCGAAAGGGCAGUUAAGUUGGACUAACGAAGUGCGGCCGCAGAGACAGCUAGGAUGUUGGCUCGGAAGCAGCCAUUCAUUCAAAGAGUGCGUAACAGCUCACUAGUCGAGCGGCCGUGCGUGGAUAAUAAGCGGGCAUGAAACUGUCUGCCGAAGCUGCGGAUUUAUGGUAGGGGAGCAUUCCACCGGCGUCGAAGGCGGGCCGCGAGGCCUACUGGAGCCUGUGGAAAAGCAAAUGUAGGAAUGAGUAACGACAAGGGGGGCGGGAGGCCCCCCCGCCGAAAGACCAAGGGUUCCUGAUCAACGCUAGUCGGAUCAGGGUUAGUCUGGAGCUAAGGAUAAGGCGAAAGCCGAAGCCGAUGACGAUGCGGUUAAUAUUCCGCAACCCGCUGUAUGGGCGAUGUGGCGACGAAGCGAGCAAGGCUGUGCCCGGUGACGGAUAUCCGGGUAUAAGGCGGAAGGCGACGAAGGGUGCAGGCAAAUCCACACCCGAGCCGGAACCCGAAAGUACGGCGACCCUCCGGGGGAGCCGAUAUCAGCCGGAAGCGCUUCCAAGAAAACCCGCUAAGCUUAACCAUGCGGCGGCCAGUACCGCAAACCGACACAGGUGGUCCGGUAAGAGAAUACCGAGGCGUAUGGGAGAUUCACGGUUAAGGAACUAGGCAAAUUGACCCCGUAACUUCGGGAUAAGGGGAGCCCUCCUCCGGGAGGGCCGCAGAGAAAAGGCUCAGGCGACUGUUUAACAAAAACACAGGGCUAUGCUAAAUCGAAAGAUGAGAUAUAUGGCCUGACACCUGCCCGGUGCUGGAAGGUCAAGGGGAGAAGUCACGCGCAAGCUGCAGCUUCGAGCCGAAGCCCCAGUAAACGGCGGCCGUAACUAUAACGGUCCUAAGGUAGCGAAAUUCCUUGUCGGGUAAGUUCCGACCUGCACGAAUGGUGUAACGAUCCGAGCACUGUCUCAACCGUGAGCCCAGUGAAAUUGUAGUAUCGGUGAAGAUGCCGAUUACCCGCAACGGGACGGAAAGACCCCGUGAACCUUUACUGCAACUUAGCGUUGAGUCUGGGCAAUCGAUGUGUAGGAUAGGCCGGAGGCUUAGAAGGCGGCGCGCCAGCGCUGUUGGAGCCGACGUUGAAAUACGGCCCUUUGCUUGUCCGGGCUCUAACUCAGAGUGACUGAGGACCGCGCUUGGCGGGUAGUUUGACUGGGGUGGUCGCCUCCAAAAGCGUAACGGAGGCUUCUAAAGGUCCCUUCAGGACGAUUGGUAACCGUCCGCAGAGUGCAAUGGCAUAAGGGGGCUUGACUGGGAGGCCGACAAGCCGAACAGGUUGGAAACAAGAGCAUAGUGAUCCGGCGGUACCGCGUGGAAGGGCCGUCGCUCAAAGGAUAAAAGGUACUCCGGGGAUAACAGGCUGAUCCCUCCCAAGAGCUCAUAUCGACGGAGGGGUUUGGCACCUCGAUGUCGGCUCGUCACAUCCUGGGGCUGGAGAAGGUCCCAAGGGUUCGGCUGUUCGCCGAUUAAAGUGGCACGCGAGCUGGGUUCAGAACGUCGUGAGACAGUUCGGUCCCUAUCUGUUGCGGGCGUUGGAUGUCUGAGCGGGUCUGCCACUAGUACGAGAGGACCGUGGCGGACCGGCCUCCGGUGGACCAGUUGCGCCGCCAGGUGCACCGCUGGGUAGCUGAGCCGGGUCAGGAUAAGCGCUGAAAGCAUCUAAGCGCGAAGCCGUCCGCAAGAUUAGACAUCCCUUGAGGGUCGUCAGAGACUAUGACGUUGAUAGGCGGCAGGUGUAAAGGCAGCAAUGUCAAAGCCGAGCCGUACUAAUUGCCCGAUAGACUUUUCCGA
rnacentral:rRNA from 1 species